rnacentral:rRNA from 1 species
GUGGGGAAUCUUCCGCAAUGGACGAAAGUCUGACGGAGCAACGCCGCGUGAGUGAAGAAGGUUUUCGGAUCGUAAAGCUCUUUCGUUAGGGACGAACGUGCUCUUUGUGAAUAAUGAGGAGUAAUGACGGUACCUAAAUAAGAAGCCACGGCUAACUACGUGCCAGCAGCCGCGGUAAUACGUAGGUGGCAAGCGUUGUCCGGAAUUAUUGGGCGUAAAGCGCGCGCAGGCGGGAUAUCAAGUCUGUCUUAAAAGUGCGAGGCUCAACCUCGUGAGGGGACAGAAACUGGUAUUCUUGAGUGUCGGAGAGGAAAGUGGAAUUCCAAGUGUAGCGGUGAAAUGCGUAGAGAUUUGGAAGAACACCAGUGGCGAAGGCGACUUUCUGGACGGUGUCUGACACUGAGGCGCGAAAGCCAGGGGAGCGAACGGGAUUAGAAACCCCUGUAGUCC